rnacentral:rRNA from 1 species
UACGUAGGGGGCUAGCGUUGUCCGGAAUCAUUGGGCGUAAAGCGCGUGUAGGCGGUCCGGUAAGUCCGCUGUGAAAGUCGAGGGCUCAACCCUCGAAUGCCGGUGGAUACUGUCGGGCUUGAGUACGGGAGAGGCGAGUGGAAUUCCUGGUGUAGCGGUGAAAUGCGCAGAUAUCAGGAGGAACACCGGUGGCGAAGGCGGGUCUCUGGGCAGCAACUGACGCUGAGGAGCGAAAGCGUGGGGAGCGAACAGG